rnacentral:pre_miRNA from 1 species
GAAGUGGAACAAGUGAAGCUGCCAGCAUGAUCUAACCUGGAGUUGAUGCUGUUUAUUCAGCUGUGGUUGUUAGGUCAUGCUUGGACAGCAUCACUCCUUCCUCUU